rnacentral:rRNA from 1 species
CGCAUAACAUAUAUUUAUCGCAUGGUAGAUAUAUCAAAGAUUUAUCGCUUAGAGAUGGACUCGCGUCCGAUUAGUUAGUUGGUGAGGUAACGGCUCACCAAGACUGCGAUCGGUAGCCGGACUGAGAGGUUGAACGGCCACAUUGGGACUGAGACACGGCCCAGACUCCUACGGGAGGCAGCAGUGGGGGAUAUUGCGCAAUGGGGGAAACCCUGACGCAGCAACGCCGCGUGAAGGAUGAAGGUCUUCGGAUUGUAAACUUCUUUUAUUAAGGACGAAGAAAGUGACGGUACUUAAUGAAUAAGCUCCGGCUAACUACGUGCCAGCAGCCGCGGUAAUACGUAGGGAGCAAGCGUUGUCCGGAUUUACUGGGUGUAAAGGGUGCGUAGGCGGCUUUGCAAGUCAGAUGUGAAAUCUGUGGGCUCAACC